CAUUCCGGCCAACGUCGUCGUCGCCAUUAAGGUGAUCGGUGGCUGUAUUAUACGUGGCAUCACCUCUCCCCCUGUGUUGGAUUUGCCUCCUCGAUUUGCAUUUCCCGCCUAAAAUUCUUUUCUGUGGCCAUGCGUUGAUGCGUAGUGUAUCAUCUUAUCGAGUUUGUACACCGGGUGUGUCGUGAGCUCUGUUCAUGGCGGCCGUGCAGCUCGACUCCGGCCUGCUCGUCGGCUUUCUCUUCUUGGCGACGUGCUUGGCCGUCGCGAUUAGGAGCUACCUGAGAUCGGGUGGCGCGGCGAUCCCGUCGCCGCCGGCGUUGCCGGUCAUCGGCAACCUCCACCAGCUCGGCCGCGGGCGGCACCACCGGGCGCUGCGCGAGCUCGCGCGGCGGCACGGCCCGCUGUUCCAGCUCCGGCUCGGCUCCGUGCGCGCGCUCGUCGUCUCCUCGGCGCCCAUGGCGGAGGCCGUGCUCAGGCACCAGGACCACGUGUUCUGCGGCCGGCCGCAGCAGCGCACGGCGCGGGGCACGCUGUACGGCUGCCGGGACGUCGCGUUCAGCCCCUACGGCGAGCGGUGGCGCCGCCUCCGCCGCGUCGCCGUCGUGCGCCUCCUCAGCGCGAGGCGGGUCGACUCGUUCCGCGCCCUCCGGGAGGAGGAGGUCGCGUCGUUCGUGAACCGGAUCCGCGCGGCGAGCGGCGGAGGCGUCGUCAACUUGACCGAGCUCAUCGUCGGCCUCACCCACGCCGUCGUGUCGAGGGCUGCGUUCGGGAAGAAGCUCGGCGGCGUCGAUCCGGCGAAGGUCCGCGAGACGAUAGGCGAGCUCGCCGACCUGCUCGAGACGAUCGCGGUGAGCGACAUGUUCCCGCGGCUCCGGUGGGUGGACUGGGCGACGGGGCUCGACGCGAGGACGAAGAGGACGGCGGCCAAGCUCGACGAGGUUCUCGAGAUGGCGCUCCGUGACCACGAGCAGAGCCGCGGGGACGACGACGACGGCGGCGGCGGCGACGGCGAGCCCCGUGACCUGAUGGACGACCUGCUCUCCAUGGCCAACGACGGCGGCGGCGACCAUGGCCACAAGCUCGACAGGAUCGAUGUCAAGGGACUCAUCUUGGACAUGUUCAUAGCAGGCACGGACACAAUAUACAAAUCGAUAGAAUGGACGAUGGCCGAGCUCAUCAAGAACCCAGCAGAAAUGGCGAAGGUCCAAGCCGAGGUGAGACAUGUCGCCGCAGCUGCACACGGAGACGAAGACGAAGACACCGUCGCCGUCGUCAGGGAGGAGCAGCUGGGGAAGAUGACCCUCCUCCGGGCGGCGAUGAAGGAGGCGAUGCGCCUCCACCCGCCGGUGCCGCUGCUCAUCCCGCGCGAGGCGAUCGAGGACACGGUGCUCCACGGCCACCGCGUCGCGGCGGGGACGCGCGUGAUGAUCAACGCGUGGGCGAUCGGGAGGGACGAGGCGGCGUGGGAGGGCGCGGCGGAGUUCAGGCCGGGGAGGUUCGCCGGCGGCGGGGACGCCGCCGGCGUCGAGUACUACGGCGGCGGCGACUUCCGGUUCGUGCCGUUCGGCGCCGGCAGGAGGGGUUGCCCCGGCGUGGCGUUCGGGACGCGGCUCGCGGAGCUCGCGGUGGCGAACAUGGCGUGCUGGUUUGAGUGGGAGCUCCCCGAUGGGCAGGACGUGGAGUCGUUCGAGGUCGUCGAGUCGAGCGGUUUGUCGCCUGGGCUCAUCAACCCGUUGGUCCUCGCCGCGAAACCUCUCAAAUAAGAAUGGUUAAGCCUUACAUGGAGUGCAUUUUAAGAUGGAGGGAGUAGUACAGUCGCAGCUUGCUCCAUUUCCAAUUUUUCCCAUGGUCCAGAGGCACCUGACAUGAAGCUGUUGCCGUAUGACGAGGUGAACUUGAUCAUCACAGUACAACGCACAGGCACAGCAUACGCCGCCAAAAAAUCGUGGCAGGGCGAGCGAACAGGAGACCUGUGGUACACUGGUACUACGUACCAUUUUUUUUUAACAUUGUACACUGGUACUCCGUACUGGAGUACUAGUAUGCAUGCACUUAUACACGCCCAGCUAUUGGGCCAACAGCGCGGAAGAGAAAAGGGAUUAAAGAAUGAAUGAACCAUCUCUCGUGCAAUGGUAAUUUCUACACAAAGGGAUUAAAGAAUGAAAAGAAGUACUCUCUCCGUCCUAUAAUAGACACAGAUGUGGAUUUUAGUGUCCAACUUUGACCAUCUUAAAAUAUUAGACGAAUGGUCAAACGUUGGGCAUAGAAAUUUAUGGUUGCACUUGUAAUGGGACGGAGUAAGAGCAUUAGAGUUAUUGGGAUUUGUGUGUUAGAGUUAACUGAUUUCUAUAUAUUUAGUAAGAGCAAGUUUAAUUCUCCCUUCAUUUCAAAA